UACUGCCACCGAAUACUUAUCUCGGGAUAAUGGAAUAGGACCCUGUCCUUCAUGUUUCGCGUUGGUUGUGCCACGUGCGUGCGCUUCGCGGUGCGCGCGCGUGGCAUGGUUUCGUCUAAAGGAGGACCAGGGUAAUGAUUAAUAGGGAUAGUUGGGGGCAUUAAUAUUUAAUUGUCAGAGGUGAAAUUCUUGGAUUUAUGAAAGAUUAACUUCUGCGAAAGCAUCUGCCAAGGAUGUUUUCAUUAAUCAAGAACGAAAGUUAGGGGAUCGAAGACGAUUAGAUACCGUCGUAGUCUUAACCAUAAACCAUGCCGACCAGCGAUUGGGAGACGUUUCACACGGGAGUGGUCCCGGGGAGAGUGCGUGGGGGUGGGGAAAUCGUGCGGUACCCUCCCCGCUUCCCUUCCCCCUUUGCCCCCAAUUGAG
rnacentral:rRNA from 1 species